CCCAGUUACUCUUCCAUGCCCAGAAGAGUUUUUCAGGGAAGCUAUGAAGAAGAUGUCUUGCAGUUGAGUGUAUCUAGUCUAAGGAAGUCCCUGUAUGGACAUGAGGGCUAUGGUCCCUUGGCUUUCAAUACGCUCCUGCAAUAUAGAAACUGAACAGUCCAAUUGAAAGAACAAUGUAAAUAGCUUAUGAAGUGAGUAACUAAAUAGUUACACUUGGCAUUUGUACGCACGUGUGAUUAUGAAUAUACUGCUGAUUUUUACAUACAUUUUAUACAGGUAGGCUUCACAACCCUGCUCAGUACGACUUGGCCACAUCUUUCUGGAUCCUGGAUGAAUCUUGAAAGAUACCAAGAAGGACUCAUCAAAUAUUACCUGGGAGACAUGGCCUUGAAAGCAUAACCUGUGAAUAUAAUCCAUCUGAGACAGCACUUAACUCCAGACAACUCAAUGAUCAACUCAGGAAAAGCAGCAAACAUGAAAAUUCUAUGGCUGAGGCCAUAUUGCACAUCCUUGGUGGACUGUUAAGAAGAGAAAAGAAAAUCUGUGAAUGCAGUGGAGGCUCACCUUGUUGUCUGCCUGGAGCAGGGAAUAGAUUCUCCCUCUGUGUAACUGGCCUACUUUGCUGUUCCCCACACAGUCUUCAGCAGAGGUGUUAUAUGACUUCCAGAAGUUAA
rnacentral:lncRNA from 1 species